rnacentral:rRNA from 1 species
UACGAAGGGGGCGAGCGUUGUUCGGAAUUACUGGGCGUAAAGGGCGCGCAGGCGGCCUUAGAAGUCAGAUGUGAAAGCCCCGGGCUCAACCUGGGAAUGGCAUUUGAUACUCUGAGGCUGGAGUACGGGAGAGGAGAGUGGAAUUCCCAGUGUAGAGGUGAAAUUCGUAGAUAUUGGGAAGAACACCGGUGGCGAAGGCGGCGACCUGGGUCGAGACUGACGCUGAGGCGCGAAAGCGUGGGGAGCAAACAGG